AUUGAACGCUGGCGGCAGGCCUAACACAUGCAAGUCGAGCGAGCGGCGGACGGGUGAGUAAUGUCUGGGAACCUGCCUGAUGGAGGGGGAUAACUACUGGAAACGGUAGCUAAUACCGCAUACCAUCAGAUGUGCCCAGAUGGGAUUAGCUAGUAGGUGGGGUAAUGGCUCACCUAGGCGACGAUCCCUAGCUGGGCUGAGAGGAUGACCAACCACACUGGAACUGAUACACGGUCCAGACUCCUACGGGAGGCAGCAGUGGGGAAUAUUGCACAAUGGGGGCAAGCCUGAUGCAGCCAUGGCGCGUGUAUGAAGAAGGCCUUCGGGUUGUAAAGUACUUUCAGCGAGGAGGCGUUACUCGCAGAAGAAGCACCGGCUAACUCCGUGCCAGCAGCCGCGGUAAUAC
rnacentral:rRNA from 1 species